ensembl:snoRNA
CAGCAAGCCUCCCGCGUGCUCUCAUUUGCAGUGAUCCUGUGCAUUCCUACAAUGCUUGCCAGAGCAGUUUUGAAGUGGUUUGAGGUCUUGUUUGGCUCUCCCCAGAAUAAGGUUAUAGAAAUUUCAGGAAAUU